GGCCCUCUCUGGGGAGCUGAAGGCCUCCAUAACUGCCAUGGGAUUGAUUUGAGAAAACGAAUACAGCAGGGAUGACUUCCACCAGCUCCACUUUGCAGCUCUGAGGUGUAUUAAAAAUAAACCUAGAGCCCCACCAAAUGAAUCCGCUGGCACGUGGACCUCAGAUGGGGGAAACUGAGGACUGAAUUCUGACCACCCUCCUUUGUUCUAAAUUUCUUCCUGAAGGACCUGGAAGAAGUCAUGCCACGGGCCAGACCUUAACAUUCCUUUCGGCUUACCCCAGGAUUUCAGACGAAGCUUCACUUUCCUAACCAGUCACAAAUCAGAGAAUUUUUGAUUCCACCUAUGACCUGUGAGCUCCUGCUUCAAGAUAUUCCACCUUUUUUAGGCCAAACCAAUGUAUAACCUCCAAGUGUCGAUUUACACUUUCGACUGUAACUUCUGCUUUCCUGAGAUUUACCCCUGCCUUUAAAAACCCUUGCUUGUAAUCCCUCAGGGAGGCCGUGUAUUUAUUAAUCAUGAGCUGCCCAAUUCUCCUUGCUUGGUGCCCUGCAAAUAAACACCCUCUUUUCUCCCACUGCAAAA
rnacentral:sRNA from 1 species